ACAGGGUGACAGGUGGUGCAUGGUUGUCGUCAGCUCGUGUCGUGAGAUGUUGGGUUAAGUCCCGCAACGAGCGCAACCCUUAUCAUUAGUUGCUACGCAAGGGCACUCUAAUGAGACUGCCGGUGACAAACCGGAGGAAGGUGGGGAUGACGUCAAGUCCUCAUGGCCCUUAUGGGUAGGGCUUCACACGUCAUACAAUGGUCGGUACAGAGGGUUGCCAAGCCGCGAGGCGGAGCCAAUCCCACAAAGCCGAUCGUAGUCCGGAUUGUUCUCUGCAACUCGAGAGCAUGAAGUCGGAAUCGCUAGUAAUCGCAGGUCAGCAUACUGCGGUGAAUACGUUCCCGGGUCUU
rnacentral:rRNA from 1 species